UCAGCCGCCACAGGCCUUGGCAACCACACGUUCUCCAUGGAAACUCUGGAGAUGCGUCGUGAUCAGAUGGAUGGAAACGGCACAGAAAGGGGGCAGCAAUCCAUAGGACGCUCAUCAAAAGGCUGCUGCUGCCGUUAUCACUUUUCUGUCUCUGUGUAUUGAUGUGGAUGUACCAAAGUGGCUCGACUGCAGAAGAGACAGACCUGGGAGACUCAUUAGUUGAAGAUCAGUACUUCUGCAACCCCCAGUUGUUGGCAGCGGGUGGCCUCUCACACUGAGCCAGGUUCUGCUGGAGGUGUGGUGACAGAAGCGGAGGGUGAGAGGAAGAAAGCCGAUCCAGUCCUGAAGUCUCCAAUCUUGCCAAGACAUCUUCUGUCCCAAUGUCGUCCUUCACCUCUUCAGGGGAAACUUCCAAUCAGAGCGACAGAUCAAUACGCCCUAGCCUCAGGACAUGAGGCUUGAAAGCUAACUAGGAGCACUUAAGGAGAGGGGGAUCUGUAUUGAUUACAAAGAGUUAAUGAGGCCUUACGUGCUAGCUGGGGUCUUUUGUGACUAGAAACGCAUAAUCCGAUCAGCUGAUUGAUACAAACCAGUGUACAGCUCCAAUAAAGAUUUACUGCAAAACACUAAAAUCUUAAAAUAAAAUGGUCAACAUUUUAAAGCCACUGAACUUAUAAAUAUUGAGAGAAUGGACCAAAUGAAUAAUAAGUUGAAUUCUAGUGUUCUGCUAUGCAGAAGAACAAUUUCAAAUGUCCUUUUUGAACUGCAGAAUGUCUUUGUGGCCAGCCAUCAAACAAAACAAGAAGUGUGUAUGAUAUAAAUGACAACGACAAUGGAGUCUUUUGUAAAAUUCAAUAAAUUCAAUAACUAGAGUGAUUCCACAGUAACUUUUUAUUAGAGCUCUUGGCACAGAAUAUUGUCCUUUUUUUUGCUAUUCUGCUCUUUAUAGCAUAAAACCGAUAGUUAGCUUAUAGUAGACAGUUAAUUAGCCAGGCUACCUACUUAU